rnacentral:rRNA from 1 species
UAUGAACGCUGGCGGCGUGCUUAACACAUGCAAGUCGAACGAAGCACUUUAUUUGAUUUCCUUCGGGACUGAUUAUUUUGUGACUGAGUGGCGGACGGGUGAGUAACGCGUGGGUAACCUGCCUUGUACAGGGGGAUAACAGUUGGAAACGGCUGCUAAUACCGCAUAAGCGCACAGCAUCGCAUGAUGCAGUGUGAAAAACUCCGGUGGUAUAAGAUGGACCCGCGUUGGAUUAGCUAGUUGGUGAGGUAACGGCCCACCAAGGCGACGAUCCAUAGCCGACCUGAGAGGGUGACCGGCCACAUUGGGAUUGAGACACGGCCCAAACUCCUACGGGAGGCAGCAGUGGGGAAUAUUGCACAAUGGGCGAAAGCCUGAUGCAGCGACGCCGCGUGAGCGAAGAAGUAUUUCGGUAUGUAAAGCUCUAUCAGCAGGGAAGAUAAUGACGGUACCUGACUAAGAAGCACCGGCUAAAUACGUG